AGUGAACGCUGGCGGUAGGCCUAACACAUGCAAGUCGAACGGCAGCACAGUAAGAGCUUGCUCUUACUGGUGGCGAGUGGCGGACGGGUGAGGAAUACAUCGGAAUCUACUUUUUCGUGGGGGAUAACGUAGGGAAACUUACGCUAAUACCUCAUACUACCUACGGGUGAAAUCAGGGGAUCUUCGGACCUUGCGCGACUGAAUGAGCCGAUGUCGGAUUAGCUAGUUGGCAGGGUAAAGGCCCACCAAGGCGACGAUCCGUAGCUGGUCUGAGAGGAUGAUCAGCCACACUGGAACUGAGACACGGUCCAGACUCCUACGGGAGGCAGCAGUGGGGAAUAUUGGACAAUGGGCGCAAGCCUGAUCCAGCCAUACCGCGUGAGUGAAGAAGGCCUUCGGGUUGUAAAGCCCUUUUGUUGGGAAAGAAAAGCAGCAGGAUAAUACCCCGCUGUUCUGACGGUACCCAAAGAAUAAGCAACGGCUAACUUCGUG
rnacentral:rRNA from 1 species